rnacentral:rRNA from 1 species
UACGUAGGGUGCGAGCGUUGUCCGGAAUUAUUGGGCGUAAAGAGCCCGUAGGCGGUGUGUCGCGUCGGCCGUGAAAAACCUGGGGCUCAACUCUGGGCGUGCGGUCGAUACGGGGCAUCACUUUGAGUUCGGCAGGGGAGACUGGAAUUCCUGGUGUAGCGGUGAAAUGCGCAGAUAUCAGGAGGAACACCGGUGGCGAAGGCGGG